UACGUAGGGUGCAAGCGUUAAUCGGAAUUACUGGGCGUAAAGCGUGCGCAGGCGGUUUUGUAAGUCUGACGUGAAAGCCCCGGGCUUAACUUGGGAAUUGCGCUCGAAACUACGUGGCUGGAGUGUGGCAGAGGAAGGUGGAAUUCCAGGUGUAGCGGUGAAAUGCGUAGAGAUCUGGAAGGAACACCGAUGGCGAAGGCAGCCUUCUGGGCCAACAACUGACGCUCAUGCACGAAAGCGUGGGGAGCAAACAGG
rnacentral:rRNA from 1 species